CAUUUUUUUAAACACUAGAGUUUUGUGGAAGACAAAACGCUAUCGAAAAUGUCAGAUAGAAGACACGAGACGCAGCGGCGUUGUGUUUAAAAGACAAUUUGCACAUGAAAUUAACAUGGUGUUAGACACAAGAACACACGUAAUACGACACAAGAAAUGUAGUUACAGUGCGGGUGACGUAGAACCUGAACUACGACCUUUGACCGAGACGAGCACUAAACAGGUGAGUAGAGAUGUAAAAAAGUGGUUAUAUACGAUUAUGUCCGCUUUGACGCUGUUCACUUAAC
rnacentral:sRNA from 1 species